GCUAUAAUGCAGUCGAGCGAUGGAUUAAGAGCUUGCUCUUAUGAAGUUAGCGGCGGACGGGUGAGUAACACGUGGGUAACCUGCCCAUAAGACUGGGAUAACUCCGGGAAACCGGGGCUAAUACCGGAUAACAUUUUGCACCGCAUGGUGCGAAAUUCAAAGGCGGCUUCGGCUGUCACUUAUGGAUGGACCCGCGUCGCAUUAGCUAGUUGGUGAGGUAACGGCUCACCAAGGCAACGAUGCGUAGCCGACCUGAGAGGGUGAUCGGCCACACUGGGACUGAGACACGGCCCAGACUCCUACGGGAGGCAGCAGUAGGGAAUCUUCCGCAAUGGACGAAAGUCUGACGGAGCAACGCCGCGUGAGUGAUGAAGGCUUUCGGGUCGUAAAACUCUGUUGUUAGGGAAGAACAAGUGCUAGUUGAAUAAGCUGGCACCUUGACGGUACCUAACCAGAAAGCCACGGCUAACUACGUGCCAGCAGCCGCGGUAAUACGUAGGUGGCAAGCGUUAUCCGGAAUUAUUGGGCGUAAAGCGCGCGCAGGUGGUUUCUUAAGUCUGAUGUGAAAGCCCACGGCUCAACCGUGGAGGGUCAUUGGAAACUGGGAGACUUGAGUGCAGAAGAGG
rnacentral:rRNA from 1 species